GCGGAUUGGGAGAGGCAUUUGGCGAUUUGGCGGACCGCUUGGCGCAGUCGUUGCUCAUUUUCGACUAAUGACAUUCGCA
rnacentral:tRNA from 1 species